rnacentral:rRNA from 1 species
GACGAACGCUGGCGGCGUGCUUAACACAUGCAAGUCGAACGAUGAAGCCCAGCUUGCUGGGUGGAUUAGUGGCGAACGGGUGAGUAACACGUGGGCAACCUGCCCCAAACUCUGGGAUAACUCCUCGAAAGAGGUGCUAAUACCGGAUACGAACUAGGUAGACAUCUGCACUAGUUGGAAAGUUUUUCGGUUUGGGAUGGGCCCGCGGCCUAUCAGCUUGUUGGUGAGGUAACGGCUCACCAAGGCUACGACGGGUAACCGGCCUGAGGGGGCGACCGGUCACACUGGGACUGAGGCACGGCCCAGACUCCUACGGGAGGCUGCAGUGGGGAAUAUUGCGCAAUGGGCGAAAGCCUGACGCAGCGACGCCGCGUGAGGGAUGAAGGUCUUCGGAUCGUAAACCUCUUUCAGUAGGGACGAAGCGAAAGUGACGGUACCUAAAGAAGAAGCACCGGCUAACUACGUGCCAGCCGCCGCCGUAA